AUUGAACGCUGGCGGCAUGCCUUACACAUGCAAGUCGAACGGGAACGGGCCUGCGGGUGCCGACGAGUGGCGAACGGGUGAGUAAUACAUCGGAACGUGCCCGAUCGUGGGGGAUAACGAGGCGAAAGCUGUGCUAAUACCGCAUACGAUCUACGGAUGAAAGCAGGGGAGCGCAAGGACGUGCGCGGACGGAGCGGCCGAUGGCAGAUUAGGUAGUUGGUGGGAUAAAAGCUUACCAAGCCGACGAUCUGUAGCUGGUCUGAGAGGAUGAUCAGCCACACUGGGACUGAGACACGGCCCAGACUCCUACGGGAGGCAGCAGUGGGGAAUUUUGGACAAUGGGCGCAAGCCUGAUCCAGCCAUGCCGCGUGCAGGAUGAAGGCCUUCGGGUUGUAAACUGCUUUUGUACGGAACGAAAAGCCUUCUUUUAAUACAGGAGGGUCAUGACGGUACCGUAAGAAUAAGCACCGGCUAACUACGUG
rnacentral:rRNA from 1 species